rnacentral:sRNA from 9 species
AUGCACCAUGCAUCCGCUGCGGCUCUGAGCGCGCCGUCCACACCCACCUGACGACGACUCGCCAUGUUUCGUUAGCC